GGCCAGCAGCCGCGGUAAUACGUAGGGGGCGAGCGUUGUCCGAAUUUACUGGGCGUAAAGCGCGUGUAGGCGGCUCUUUAAGUGAGAUGUGAAAUCCUGCGGCUCAACUGCAGAACUGCAUUUCAAACUGGAGGGCUUGAGUUUAGGAGAGGAAAGUGGAAUUCCUGGUGUAGCGGUGAAAUGCGUAGAUAUCAGGAGGAACACCCGUGGCGAAGGCGGCUUUCUGGCCUUAUACUGACGCUGAGACGCGAAAGCUAGGGGAGCGAACGGGAUUAGAUACCCCGGUAGUCCUAGCCGUAAACGAUGGAUACUAGGUGUUAGAGGUAUCGACCCCUCUAGUGCCGUAGCUAACGCAUUAAGUAUCCCGCCUGGGGAGUACGGCCGCAAGGUUGAAACUCAAAGGAAUUGACGGGGGCCCGCACA
rnacentral:rRNA from 1 species